UGGGGAAUAUUGCACAAUGGGCGCAAGCCUGAUGCAGCCAUGCCGCGUGUGUGAAGAAGGCCUUCGGGUUGUAAAGUCACUUUCAGCGAGGAGGAAGGUGGUGAACUUAAUACGCUCAUCAAUUGACGUUACUCGCAGAAGAAGCACCGGCUAACGUCCGUGCCAGCAGCCGCGGUAAUACGGAGGGUGCAAGCGUUAAUCGGAAUUACUGGGCGUAAAGCGCACGCAGGCGGUUUGUUAAGUCAGAUGUGAAAAUCCCCGGGCUCAACCUGGGAACUGCAUUUGAAACUGGCAAGCUAGAGUCUCGUAGAGGGGGGUAGAAUUCCAGGUAGGUAGCGGUGAAAUGCGUAGAGAUCUGGAGGAAUACCGGUGGCGAAGGCGGCCCCCUGGACGAAGACUGACCGCUCAGGUGCGAAAGCGUGGGGAGCAAAACAGGAUUAGAUAACCCUGGUAGUCCACGCUGUAAAACGAUGUCGAUUUUGGAGGUUGUGCCCUUGAGGCGUGGCUUCCGGAGCUAAACGCGUUAAAAUCGACCGCCUGGGGGAGUACGGCCGCAAGGUUAAAAACUU
rnacentral:rRNA from 1 species